rnacentral:rRNA from 1 species
GACGAACGCUGGCGGCGUGCUUAACACAUGCAAGUCGAACGCUGAAGCUCAGCUUUUGUUGGGUGGAUGAGUGGCGAACGGGUGAGUAACACGUGAGUAACCUGCCUCCUUCUUUGGGAUAACGCCCGGAAACGGGUGCUAAUACUGGAUAUUCACUGGUCUUCGCAUGGGGGUUGGUGGAAAGGGUUUUUCUGGUGGGGGAUGGGCUCGCGGCCUAUCAGCUUGGUGGUGGGGUGAUGGCCUACCAAGGCUUUGACGGGUAGCCGGCCUGAGAGGGUGACCGGUCACAUUGGGACUGAGAUACGGCCCAGACUACUACGGGAGGCAGCAGUGGGGAAUAUUGCACAAUGGGCGCAAGCCUGAUGCAGCGACGCCGCGUGAGGGAUGGAGGCCUUCGGGUUGUGAACCUCUUUCGCUCAUGGUCAAGCCGCAACAAUGGUUGUGGUGAGGGUAGUGGGUAAAGAAGCGCCGGCUAACUACGUG